UCCUUGCAGCAACACUUUGCUUGUUUACACAGCACUACACUCUACUGCACUCCACUGCAGAUUCUGCUACAUCUGCCACAUGCAACAGGCAUCCACAGAAAAGUCUGCAUCAAAGUCUGCCUCAAAGUCUGCUUAGAUCACAGACCACAAAGGAAAGAAAAGCAAACGGAGCCCAGAGAACAGAGAAAAAAUCUCGAAGCGAGAUCCCAAACCCAAUCAAACCACACGUACAGACAAUUCCCAUCCAUUAAUUGAAUCAAAUCGAACGUUACGCAUGCGUCAUGCCACAAAAUGACAAAGGGAGCCGCCACUGGGAGAGGCUCACACAUGCAGAUGAUCAUAAUAAUGAUUAUAAUGAUGAUGACGAUAGUUCCAGCCAUCUUCUUGGAGGAGACACCGUCUCCACCACCUCCACUCCACCAAAAGCCACAGCAACAGACAGACGCAGAAGCAGACGAUGGUAGAAGCCGUUAAGCAAAGUGGAAAUCGCAGUUGGAGACCAUCAUCCAGAGAGGGAGGGGAAUCAGGGACUCUGGGACUCAGGGAAGUGGUGACCAAAUCAAACUGCCUCUGGACCAUGGACUGUGGACUGCGGACUGUGACUGUGGUUAAAGCCCACUUAAUUGACAUUUAGUGGACACUCGAAUGCAAAUGCAACACAGAGGCUUGGGAUAUACACUGGAAUAAACGAAGGGAACGAUUGAGGAUCGAUAUACAACCAGAUGCUUUGAUUCAUUGUUAAAUUUAUUCCCCAUUUCAGUAAUUUUUAAACUCUGUUUCUGCUGUGGAUUAUACUGGAGCUGGAUACUUCUGUGUUUCGUUAGAGGACUCGGUCUUUCUAAAUGACACUUCGGAGAUGUCUACACUAUGUCCCAGAAAGAUCGCCAACUUUGUACGAGCAUCUGGAGAGAUCCUCUGCGGUAUCACAACGGGCCGAAACAGGCCCUGAGGCUGGCAGACGCCUCGACCUAACGUGACCAAGAGGGAAUUAUGUCUUAGAGGACUCAAAAUAGCAGGCGAUGAUCACACUCCUAGUGGUCCUUGAGAUGAUCUUCAAAAAGGGAUGUCUACAUACAGAUUCCAAAUGUUAUCAGAAGAAUAAAACACUAUAAAUCGAGGAGGAAUCGGAACUGAAAGAUGGACAACAGUCCGAAGAGUACUGGAAUCUUCAGAGCAAAAUCUGUUUAAGAUAUGAUCACCUUCUCGAUCUUAGGGACACCUUUUUGGGUGUUUUCUUGCAGUGCAUGCCACAUACCAAAGCGAGUGUCAGGCUGCGUGGAUUUUGGCUGGGCGCGAUUCUCAUCAGUAGUGCUAUAAGUAGUUUUCCUUUUCGAACUUGAAUGCUCGUCUCUGGCAGCUCUCUCUCUCCCUCUCUGUUGGCAUUCUAAUGCCCUCCCCUCGUGCCUCGUGCCUCGUACCCCCAAUCCAUCCGUUGAUAAUGAGCAUGUUCUCCAGUUGCCAUUCCUGUUGCUCAUGAUUUCUGAAGAUGCGACUGCAGCGGCGGCUGCAGAAGUAGCAUUCGAAGAAGUAGCUUCAACUGAACCCAGACAUCAUUACAAUAUAAUUGAUGGGUUAUGGCCCCGCUAACGGUACUGGCCAAAA